ACCGCUGCCCUCGCACGCCCAGGGGUCCUUCCUCCUUUUUCCUGCCUUUGUUGGAAGCAGCGACGGAGCUGCGAGUGCGUGCAAGCUCACCUUUGCUCCUUAUGAGCUUCCAGCAUUUGCAUCGAAGCGCACGCAGCCCGCUGUGCCCUCAGGACCCGUCCCGAGGGUCCUGCCCAUCUGUCCUGCUGUCUGCUCAUCACGCUGCCGCUAAGGCUUGGCCGUGGGUGCAGGGGCUUCUUUUGGGGAGGUGAGCCCCCUGCUAGGGACCUGCCCACUCUGGCCCUGGGAGUUUGGGGGCCAGAGGGCAGCCAGGUGAACAGGCCCCGGGGCCGGGAUGAAAGUCGUGGCAGUGGAUGUCCUCCUCCUUUGAACUCGGAGGAGUCGGGGCAAGAGGAGAGCGGCAGAUUUGGGGGUGCGACAAGCCCGGCACCCUCCCGCUCCCCAUCCUCAGCUGGAGCGGCCCCUCCCGACCCAUCCCAGGCGGAAAGCACCAGCCGCUGGGAGUUCCUUAGAUCAUUGGCGGUGGACUGUGGACAGAAGGCCCUGGGAGCAUGGCAGGACCUGGGCUACCUCCAGAAGACAGAAAGAUCCCGGGAACUAGAAUGAAAGCCCCACUAGGACCAGGGUUUUGCCUUUUAUCCUUCACUGCUGGAUGCCCAUCCUUGCCUCCAGAAUGAGUGUCGCGUUGUGCCAUUUGCUAAGGACGUGCCGCAUUUGUCUUUAAUUAAGAUCAGAAAUAAGGCUGCCCUCUCCCUUUGUGGUUGAUUUUGGUAUGCUACCCUUAACUGCUGUCUUAUGGCCAAGGAAAUCAUUCACUCGGCGCAGAUUUGAGAAAAAUGAGAAUGGUUGGAGAAACGCAUCCAUUCUCCACAUCUCUAGCCACAACACCCUCAAGCCCAGGCACUGUAUAAAAAUUCACAUGCAAUGUUCUGUUAGUUGGUAAGUUCUUCAGAAAUGGUUGGAGAUUUCUGCUCCCUAAUUUUCAAUCCGUUGGGGGGUCUGCUAUUAAUGGGUUAAUAAUAAAUGCUGUGGGUGGGGCCUGACCAAACACUUGCAGGUGUGAAAGACGCAUCAGCUUGUUUUUUACCCCCUUGCCUUGUAAUUUCCAUGGAGAGAAGUGAAUAAACCAUGACCAAAGAGAAA